UCUGAAGUUAGAUCAUAAGGAGGUUGAAGUUUCCACCUGGGUUUCUUAGAACACUCCUUCUGUGAUACUGGGACCCACCAUACCGGAGAAGCCACAGAUUUGCAUCCUGUGUGAGAGCAUCCUCACACCCCAUCUUUCCAGACAUUUCUGCCAAAGUGUCCAACACAUGAGUGAAGCCAGCGUGGACCUCCAUAGCAGCCCUCCAUCCAGCCCACCGAUUCACCUAAGUUGUUAUUUGGAGUACGUGGGCUGUAUGUUUUCUCUCUAACCUUUCUGUUGUAAAUUUCUCCAAGAAAGGAAACCAAAUAGAAUCUUGGAGAAGAUGUUCCCAGUUGGGAUGUCUUACUAACGGAAGUUGAUCCAAAAUGCACAGGGGAUGGACUGUGCUGGGUGCUGUGUCUCACCAACCAGAUUUUUACUUCUCUUGGAAAUAUGAGUGUUGAGAAGUCACGCGUGAGCCGUUUUCUGGGAAUUUCCCUGAGAUAAAAAGUACCGCCUCCUUCAAGUUUCAGACGCCUGCUCAGUGGUCACAUAUCUAAUGAUGGUGGACGCAGGAGUGUGAAGGUAGAUUGUAAAGUAGCUCUGAACCAAAGUUGAGCUACAUUCGGUCACUCGAGUAUAUUCAUCAUCUCUCUGAAUGACAACUUUAGAAAUCUUCCUAUCUCUAUCAAGUUCACCGUCCCUAUGUCGAAGAACACAGUGAAAAGUAUAAAGAGAAAAGGUAAUGAAGGUAGAAUAGCAGCGGGGGCACCGGCGUGAUGAUGUUAAGCUGUAAGAUCAUCAAUGGAAACAUGUAUCACUGCAUCUAACAGUAUAUUGCCACUGUAGUAUGUUUCCUGAGACUUCAUCCUGUCUGCUCAUGAGAAAUAACAAGCCCUGGAGAGUCACUGUGUCAAGUACCACGAAGACACAGAGGGAGCAGAACUGGCCCCAACCCACAGUUGGUAAGCAGGCAGAGCUGAGCUCAGACAUGAUUAGGCAAACUCCAGACAAUGGAGACCUGUGAGUAAAACACAAAAGUAUUGUCAUAAACCACUAAGACUCCAAGGUUGCCACACAGCAAUAACUAAUACAUGGACUCUUGACCUUUUGUUGAAUAUCCACAAUACAAAUCCACAAUAAAAUAGGCAAGUUUAUAACAAAUCAUUAUGUACAAUUUUCAUUAUUCCUAUAUGUGAAUAUGUAUAUAUAUACACACACACAUAUAUAUACAUAUAUAUACACAUAUAUAUGGAUAGUGCUUUAAGUUAUUCUUUCCUUAAAUAUCUUUAUUGU
rnacentral:lncRNA from 1 species